rnacentral:rRNA from 1 species
UACGUAGGGUGCAAGCGUUAAUCGGAAUUACUGGGCGUAAAGCGUGCGCAGGCGGCUUUGCAAGACAGAUGUGAAAUCCCCGGGCUCAACCUGGGAACUGCAUUUGUGACUGCAAGGCUAGAGUACGUAGAGGGGGAUGGAAUUCCGCGUGUAGCAGUGAAAUGCGUAGAUAUGCGGAGGAACACCGAUGGCGAAGGCAAUCCCCUGGACCUGUACUGACGCUCAUGCACGAAAGCGUGGGGAGCAAACAGG